UACAGAGGGGGCAAGCGUUAUUCGGAAUUAUUGGGCGUAAAGGGCGCGUAGGCGGCUUUUCAAGUGACGGGUGAAAUCCCUCGGCUUAACCGAGGAACUGCCUGUCAGACUGGAAGGCUUGAGACCGAGAGAGGUGAGUGGAAUUCCCAGUGUAGCGGUGAAAUGCGUAGAUAUUGGGAGGAACACCAGUGGCGAAGGCGGCUCACUGGACCGGAACUGACGCUGAGGCGCGAAAGCGUGGGGAGCAAACAGG
rnacentral:rRNA from 1 species